rnacentral:rRNA from 1 species
AUGAUGGCCGAACCAGUCAAGCACGUCAAGAUGCUCGCCAAGUUCCUCGGUGUUCCCUUCACCGAGGAGGAGGUGAGAUGUGGGGUUGUAGAGGGUGUAGUGCAGCUGUGUAGCUUCAAUAAGCUCAGGAGCUUACCGGUCAACUCAUCAAGAGUAACUGAUAGGAUUGGUGGGGUGCCAAUGGAGAACGCUUCCUACUUUAGAACUGGGAAGGUUGGUGACUGGGCAAACCACUUGACGGAAGAGAUGUCAAAGAAGCUGGAUGCCAUUGUUGAGGAGAAGCUGAGAGGAUCAGGUAUCACAUUUUGA